UCUUCGAUGGUCUAGUGGUCAUGAUUUCCGCUUGUCAGUCACAAGAUAACAAGCCGCGGGAGACCGGGGUUCGAUUCCCCGUCGGAGAG